AGUUGGUCUGAAGCUUGUGGGUUAUCAUCAAUUGAUUUAACAUUGUCUCCCCCCAAAUCCAUGUUUGACUAACUUUAG
ensembl:misc_RNA Y_RNA Y RNA